rnacentral:lncRNA from 1 species
GUUACAGAAACAUUCGAAAUAAUGUUACCUACAGAGGACAGAACAGGUUUAAAAAUGUAAGAAGCAAAAAAAAAAUAUAUGAAGUCAUUCAAUUCUGGGGAAGGAGUUGUCCAAAUUGGAGACAUGUUGUGGAUAUGAGGAUGGUGAAGGAUUUUUUUCUAUUAUAUGUGUUGUAAGAAAUAGUUGUCUAACAAAACCAUGCUAAGCAGUGUCAGUGUGCAUUUUGUCCAUGGGUAAGUGUUGUCUCUAGUUUUAGCAAUAAUAAUGCAGACAGAAAAGGGAAGCAUCUAUGGACAGAGAGGUACCAGAUUUCCCAAAACUUCCUUGUUAGUCCCUUUGUAGCAGGUACAUUUUCAGAGAUUAUCCCCUGAGUGAUGGAGUGAAGCUGUCCAUAAUUUUAGACAUAGGACAUUUCUGAAAAGAAGACCAAAUGAACACUGUGCCCUCAGGAUCAGAGGGCUUAUGGAAAGAGCAGUUUCCAUGCACCAAAGGGACUUCCCUAGAGUGGACAUUGAGACACAGUAUCUGGCCCUGGGUCCUGGGAAACACUGGGCCUUAGAGUCAAUUGCUUUUUAAUGCAAUGAUUUUGAAGAGAGGAAGAUAGACACGGGGCAAAAGCUGGCCACUAGCCUGGUCAGAGCAGCUAUAGGCCUUGAAGUCUUUUGGAGGGGGAUUAAGAAAUCCAGGCAAGGACAUGAGAAGGGAAAACUAAAAAAACUCUCUAGGUUUUAUUUUAUUUUUACAAAUGUAUUUAUGUGUGUGAAUGUAUAUCUAUGUGUGGUUGUGUGUGCACAAGUGCAGGAGCCCAAGGAGGCCAGAAAGGGGCAUUUGGAUCCCACAGGCUUUGAGUUACAGGCAAUUGUGAGCCAUCUAACAUCAUUGCUGGGAAUCAAACUCAAGAUUCUACACUCUUAGCAAGCUUUCUUAACUGUUGAGCCAUCUCUCAAGCCCAUACUUCUCUCAUUUUUAUCAACACAAACAAUACACAUCCCAGUACUUAUAGGCUGAGGCAGGAGAAUAUUAAGUUCAAGGCCAGCCUGCAUUCUAUAGCCAAGACGCUGUCUCAAAAACCAAACUACAGCAAUACAACCUUCCCCAGAGUUAUAUAGAACUUACAUAAAUCUCUAUUGCUAUCAUACAGAAACACUUCCAUCCCACUCCUAAGGCAAGCCUAGUGUUCUAGAUUGCAAUUAGUGCAGGGGUCUAGUAGUACACCAAUGGGUUUUCUUACCUGAGAGGUCCAGCUACAUCUUCCCCGAGCGUCUCUUGCAUGCAUCAUUUUUAGACACUGACUGACUGCCUUUUCCUCCAUACCCUCAGUUUUGGGGUGCGAGACAUGCUGUGUUUGAGCAGAAAUGAGUGGAUCUGAGAGCUGAAUGCUACAUGCUAUAUUGCCAUAUCAACCUAUGAGCUGAAUUAAACCCCUCAGUGGUCAGACUAGUAACAUUUACUCCCAUAUACCACACAAUGUCCUAGAAACAGCAGUCUCUACUAUAUGUACAUGAGUGGGGGUGGAGAGGCUUGAGAGGAGAUUUCCUUUAUCAUGGGCUGGCCUUGAACUUGUUAGAAACCCAUGAAUUAUCUUGGUUUUCUGAUCCUCCUCCUUCCAACUUCUGAGUUUUAUUAGUAAAGGCAUGCACUACCAUGCCUGGUUUAUGUGCUGCUAGGGACUGAACUUGGGGCUUCAGGCAAGCAUUAUACCAAGUGAGCUAUAUCUCCAGCCUAGCCAUCUCAACCUUCCCAAAAUACCCCCUGCCUCAGCAUUCACUAGAUGAACUUACAGUGUGUUCUACAGAAGUUUGAAUUCAUGGAAUUGCUUAAGCAAAGAAGGUGCAUGAAUAAAAGCUAAAUUCUAUUUUGAAAACUACACUCUCAACCCAGGAUGUCUGCAAAGUCUUAGCUGACUUCAUAGGAAUGAGUGGCAGCAGAGAAAAGGGUCUGGAUUCCCCCUCCAAUCCCUGGGGAUCUGGUAGGGAGAGCAACUGGGGGCCCAAAACCAGGAAAUUCUUAGACUCUGUCUCGGCUGAGUUAUAUAGUUAGAUUAAGUGUAUCUUGUUGGGCUGUUUUCUCUAGUCCCUCCAAUAUAGCAGGGGCAUGGGUGAUAAUUUUGCAAAAUAAAUCUUAUGAAUGGUGAUGUUAAUUAUAAUAGCUCAUAUUCACUGAAAGUUUGCACUAGAACUCUUCCUUGUGUUCCACAAAAACCAUCUCAUUCAAUCAUUUCAUUAAAGGUGUCAGCGAGGUGAGUAGCCCUGUUUUACAAGAGGGAAAACUGGAUCUCUAAAAAGUCAAGUGACUUGUCUAGAGUAAUCAAGCCAGCAACUAGAAAGGCAGAAUUGACAUCUAUCCAGAGGUUUCUACUGGGACUCUGACCUGAUCCCAAAGAAAAGCCCAUGUAUGCAUGGUAUGAGAAGAGGACAGGGAAGGAAGGGGAGGAGAGGAAAUCCAGUUAUCUAGAAGUAGAAGCUAAAAGUGGGCUGUGAUGGGGAUAUGGCAAGGGUAGGUAAACUGAAACAGGAUGGGAAAACAAGACAAGGAACUGUGUUUUGGCAAGUGUUUUUC